UAAUUACGUAAUAUCAAUACAGAUCAUAUUAAACGGGUGAUUAAUCAUGGUCAGAGUCAUUUUCGCUUUUCCCUCGCCUCGCCUGCCUCAAACCGCCAGGUUACCCAGGCAGCUCCUUCGAUGAUCAGGUUUGUGAUUGGUUAAUACUCGCUCCCAUACGUCUUUGCAAACCGAGUCGAACAGAUCAGAUCAUCAGUGAGACAGUGAGAGAUGCCCAGAAUCACUAAUCAACGAAGUUUGAAAAACCCAAACAAAGGCGGUAAGUUUCUUUUGAAUUUUAAACACUGUUUGAAAUCUAGGCGGUAAGUUUCUUUGAACCCUAAUGAGGUAAAUGAAUUUGUUAAGCAUACAGAUACCGAGACACGAUACAGUAUGUAACCUUGCUGGC